GACGUAGGGUGCGAGCGUUGUCCGGAUUUAUUGGGCGUAAAGAGCUCGUAGGCGGCUCGUCGCGUCGACCGUGAAAACCCGCGGCUUAACUGCGGGCUUGCGGUUGAUACGGGCGGGCUAGAGUUCGGUAGGGGAGACUGGAAUUCCUGGUGUAGCGGUGAAAUGCGUAGAUAUUGGGAGGAACACCAGUGGCGAAGGCGGCUCACUGGACUGGUACUGACGCUGAGGCGCGAAAGCGUGGGGAGCAAACGGG
rnacentral:rRNA from 1 species